rnacentral:rRNA from 1 species
GGCGAACGCUGGCGGCGUGCUUAACGCAUGCAAGUCGAACGGAAAGGCCCUGCUUGCAGGGUACUCGAGUGGCGAACGGGUGAGUAACACGUGGGUGAUCUGCCCUGCACUUCGGGAUAAGCCUGGGAAACUGGGUCUAAUACCGGAUAGGAGCCAUUUUUAGUGUGAUGGUUGGAAAGUUUUUUCGGUGUAGGAUGAGCUCGCGGCCUAUCAGCUUGUUGGUGGGGUAAUGGCCUACCAAGGCGGCGACGGGUAGCCGGCCUGAGAGGGUGGACGGCCACAUUGGGACUGAGAUACGGCCCAGACUCCUACGGGAGGCAGCAGUGGGGAAUAUUGCACAAUGGGCGCAAGCCUGAUGCAGCGACGCCGCGUGGGGGAUGACGGCCUUCGGGUUGUAAACUCCUUUCGCUAGGGACGAAGCUUUUUGUGACGGUACCUAGAUAAGAAGCACCGGCUAACUACGUG